UUUUUUUUUCAUUUUUUGUCAGAACCAUGUCUACAGCACAUGCGAGUUUUUCUGCCAGGGCGAUGAAGCCGUUUUAUUAAGUCAGGAGCAGCCAUGUUAUUUGCCAGUGAAGGACCAGGAGGAGCGUGUUCCUUUACAGCGUAGUGCAGGCGAAGAUACGAGCAAUAAAGGUGUCUGCAUAGAAGGAAGAUGCGUACCAAGCUAACUGGAAGAACAGGCUUCUAGUAAAAAGGGACAUCUGGGUUCUGAUGCCUGAAACAGAGUCAAAAUAAAGAGCGCUUGUACCUCGGA